CUUUGACUUUGGCCGCGUGGUAAGUACGACGUGCUACCUGCUCGGUAUGGCGUCGUGGGCACUGUGCCGGAUUCGAUAUCGCGAGCGACGAAUCCUCGCCGAUAAAGCAGCAGGUCAGCGACGAGGAAUCCGCCCGAAAGGCACCUCCUCCGCGUUGCCCCCCGCGCCGUGCGCUGCUCGCAUGGCGCCUCCAGCCUCGGUGGCGGUGGUGGUGCCUCCACCUCCACCUCUUCCCCCUGUCGCUAGAUCCUCCAGCGGCGCACCACCUUGCCGCCCCGGCCCUCCGCCAUAGCAGACGCCGCGUGCUCGGAGUCCCAGAACCUGCGCCUGGACGGUGAGGAUGACUAGGACGAGGUCCUCGACGCGGGCUAGGGACCGGUUGCUCCGGGCGCCUGCGAGGCGGAGGGGGACGACGACUACGGGGUGGUGUUCUGGUCCCCGCCCACCGGGACGAGGUCCGCUCCGCCUUUUCCGGCAUCCAGGAGUAAGAUUCGAUACGACAAUCUUUGAUUGCUUGAUGGCGACAACCUGUAGGUCUAGAAGUCCUUUGUACACAACACCGUGUCCUCCGCCGCCAACCAAAAUCUGUAUUUUGUGAUAUUUAUUUUUGCAGCAACAGCCUAUGGUUUUGCUUGAAACAUCUUUCUUUCAGUUUGUUUACUCUGACCAGCUUGAUCUUGCGUGUUAUGAAAGGAGGAGCAAGCGCCAGAAGCAAAAGAAUCGAGCCACCUCUAAUCAGGCCUAUGCUUAAACCUGCAGAAGAAGUUAAUAUUCAUAUAUAAAGAGACGAAGUCAUUACAUUUUACCCUAUGGAGUUUAAUUGGGAAAUAUUGAAUUAGUAAAUGAUUAUCAGCAAGGUUAGCGGUGGACACAAAGAUCACAAUACCUCUUGUUCCCUUGAUUAUUUUUUAUUGCUCUGUGUUCAUGUACUGACGUUCUUGUUCUUGUUAUACAGAUCGUAUCUUAUGAUUGCAAGGUUUAGGUUUUGAUAAUUGCUACUGAUGCAUUGUGCCAUUUAAUUGGUUUCCAAGAUUUGAUCGAUCUGCAUUGUACUUGGGGAAAUUUGAUCAGAGGAACUUUUACUAUGACCGGGUUUCGUGGGAGGAUUACUGCAUAACGCUGCUGCCUAGGAACUAUGAGUUUUACUGGAGUUUGCUAAUAUUUUCUAAUUACCUAGAUUUCACAGUUUUGUGCAUAAAACGACUAUCAACCUCACAGACUGGCAUUAGUGUCUUUGAAUUUGAACAGACAUGCAACUCCGGUCCAUAAACUUGAGAAUCCCACAUGUAGCAGUAUAUACCUAAAUUAAGUUAUAGGUCGUGGGUUUUCAUAGCUCGGAUAUGUGUGACUGAUCUUACACAUGCGCUUCUGCAAGGAGAGAAUGAGAAUCAAAUGAGAGAGAAAACUGACAAUGCCUUGGUUCAUUUCUAUGUCUCAUCUAUCUAUUUAAACAAUGGCUCGAUCAGUUUAGAUACAUUGAUGUGUUUGUACUUUUGAGCAGGAGUUGCUUUAUUUAAAUUAUCAUGCAUUUCCUUUGUUUCUCCUUUUUCUGUGAAAAAAAAAAUGAAAAUCAUGUAAAUCUCCACAAUCACUUUAGCAUCUAUGCCCUUGUAAAUAAAAUAGGUACAUAUAGAUAGUUUUAGUUGAAAUUCCAGUGGUACUAACCUAUGUAUAGCCAGUUUUAUGAGUAUAUCCUGAUCAUUUGUUGAAUCCUCUAUUCUGGUUUAUAUUUGUGCAGAAGCUCUAACUGCUGUCGCAUUGGUGUGCAGUAUGUGCUUUCUCCAUGGAGUGCGUUCGAGGACAGGAUUGAUGGGAAUAGGUUACCCUACUGCUGCAUGGCUUUACAACGAGCAGAUUAUGGGAUCUGAGUAGGACCUUCGAAUGAUACUAUUCAUUCUGAACCCUUGUGACAAGCUGAUUACGGAAACAGUUCAUUUUACCCAAAACUAUGCAGAGAUUGUUCCUAUAAGGCGUACACAGUCAACUCUGUGGAUGAUCUCUACAAUCCUUUUGCAUCAAUGUACGUUGGAGCAGCUUACUUGGGAUGGUUGUCGCAAUAUGAAGGAAGCAUUUACGAGGAGCAACGGCUGGAUAUUCUGGAGCAAGCGCCCAGACCAAGUUGAUGAGUUACCGCAGGCAACCUAUUUGAUGAAAUGCAUACAUGUAUAAGGUGUUCUCAUUAUUCUUGAGUUUUCCAUAUAUUUUUUAGGAGUUUCAAAUCUAACUCUGCGGCUCUCAGUUCCCUCUGUGUAACCUUCCUCACAAUUUCAAAUCCUAUGUCUGACGAUGUUUUGUUUUAUCCUAUGAGCUGUUGAACUAUGUAUGGAUUUGUAGAAUGUUGUGCUUAGUACCCCUGGCUUCUUGCUUCUCGAAGACCCUGGGAUUCCUUUUGUGCAAUACAAGCUGAGUACAAACAAA